rnacentral:rRNA from 1 species
AUUGAACGCUGGCGGCAGGCCUAACACAUGCAAGUCGAGCGGAUGAAGGGAGCUUGCUCCUGGAUUCAGCGGCGGACGGGUGAGUAAUGCCUAGGAAUCUGCCUGGUAGUGGGGGAUAACGUCCGGAAACGGGCGCUAAUACCGCAUACGUCCUGAGGGAGAAAGUGGGGGAUCUUCGGACCUCACGCUAUCAGAUGAGCCUAGGUCGGAUUAGCUAGUUGGUGGGGUAAAGGCCUACCAAGGCGACGAUCCGUAACUGGUCUGAGAGGAUGAUCAGUCAGAGGGGAAAUGAGAAAAGGUCGAGAGUCGUACGGGAGGAAGCAGUGGGGGAUAUUGAACAAGGGGAGAAAGGUUAAUCCAGCUAAGGGGAGGGUGGGAAGAAGGUCUUUGGAUUGUAUAGUACUUUAAGUUUAGAGGAAGGACAGUAAGUGAAUACCUUGCUGCUGUGACGUGAGGAACAGGAUAGGAAAAGGCCAAUGUGGUG